CUUCAAGAGUCAAGAGUCACGAGCCACUACUCAGCAUCAUCCGACCCACCUGACCCGACCGGUCAUUAUUUUCCCGUUACGUUGUCCCUCGUAACCUGAGAUAGGGAGAUGCAGCCGUUGCAUCUGAGACUCAUCAACGUCUCUCUUGCAGCUAUGACCACGAAGAAGAGAAAAAGAUCCCCGAAACUGAUCCCACACACUCCCUCAACGCCCCCGACUCCCCAAACCCAGGCCCGUCAUUCUUUCAACACCGCAAAAGCCCGGGCCUGGGCCCCUCUCAACUUGAUCCAGGCCGAACUCUCUCUGCCACUCACCUUUCCCACGGGCCAAACCUUCCGCUGGAAAAACACUGCCCCUCUAGAAUACACCGGCGUCGUUGGGCCCCACCUCGUAACCCUCAAACACCUCCAAAACGGCGACGUUUGCUACUGCCUCCACUCCCACUCUCACCCCGAAAAAGCCGAAACCGCCUUGCUAGAUUUCCUUAACGCCGCCGUUUCUCUCUCCGGCUUAUGGAAGGCGUUUUCCGCUUCCGAUGCGAGGUUCGCGGCGCUAGCGCGCCACUUGAGCGGUGCGAGGGUGCUCCGGCAAGACCCUUUCGAGUGUUUGAUUCAGUUUCUGUGCUCUUCCAAUAACAACAUUGCACGAAUCACGAAGAUGGUUGACCACGUGUCGUCCCUUGGAGUGCACGUGGGAGACGUUGGAGGGUUUCAGUUUCACGUUUUCCCUUCUUUGGAGCAACUUUCCUCCGUCUCAGAGCAACAACUCAGAGACGCGGGUUUCGGUUACAGAGCUAAAUAUAUAAUUGGAACGGUUAAUGCUUUGCGAUCAAAACCUGGUGGAGGGGAAGAGUGGCUUCGUUCUCUGCGUAAGUUGGAUCUUCCAGAUGUUAUAUCUGCACUUUCUACGUUACCUGGUGUGGGCCCUAAAGUGGCUGCUUGCAUUGCUCUCUUCUCGCUUGAUCAACACCAUGCCGUUCCUGUUGACACUCACGUUUGGCGGAUUGCCACCAAGUAUCUCUUACCUGAGCUUGCAGGUUCGCAGUUGACACCAAAGCUCUGUAAUCGUGUUGCAGAGGCAUUUGUUACCAAGUACGGUAAAUAUGCUGGGUGGGCGCAGACUCUAUUGUUCAUAGCUGAAUUACCUUCACAGAAGGCCAUCAUACCUUCACAUUUGUGGACUAUCAAACAACGGAAUCCUGCAAAGGUAGAAGAUGGCGAAGAAAAAGUUGAGUGAGAUCUACAUAUGACUCUGAGGACAUAAAUGUACGAGACUUAGGUGUGACAUGCUGCUGUCAAGAAUUCAUUAGUGUUAAAGGCCACAUUCUUGCAGUCUGGUAGAAUACUGAUUGAUUUGGGUGAUAGCUGGUAUGAAAUAUUUUGCAAUUGAACUGUGACAGUUCGAUCUUCAUUAUUUUCCAGGAAGGCAGCACAUUCUGUUGAGCUACUUUUGAAAACAUAAGCCUGGAGAAUGAUGGAAAAUUAUUGAUUUUGUUUAAAAUAUCUUCUUUAGAGAGACUCAAAUACCAGUACUGUAAGAAGCUAAACAAUUUAGUAAAUUAGCCCAAGCGUGCUGUCUAGUUUUCUUACGUUUUGUCGUGAGCCCAAGCUGAAGCUAGUUUGAGUACCAUAAAGUAGAGAUUUUGAACAUGACUUGAUUGCUGCAUGUAGCUCCUUAAGAUGGCCCCAUUUUGGUUGCCUAACCAAACCUGCUUACCUUAGCGUAGUCAAUCACGUUGUGAUUCAAUAUCUAUAUUUUACUAAAAUGGUUAAAGGAAGGAAACAUACCAUAUUCAUCCAGUGGAGCUUCGUCAUAAUAGGAUGUCGUUACGAAAGCGGAGGCUAUCCUGUCGAAAUUGGUUCCUCCAUGGUACUGCAUCAAAUCAUAUCACGCCACUUAAAAGACAAAUAAUGGCAUGCCUGCUUGCAUGCUGGGGAUAAAGAAAAGAGUUACAAGGUAUCAUACCAUGUAGUAAUUUACAUAGCUUCCUCUCUUUGCAAUGAACAGAGCAACAUUGUACGCAAUGUCUUCAGCCGAUCUUAUGUAUGGUACUCCACCAAACACUUGGUAACUUUAAAUUUUAACGUGAAAUGAAUGGAAUUAGACUUCUCAAACGCCUUAAAGUAGCACUUUCUGUGAAAAAAGGUUUUGUAAAUUGUAAUGCAGAAUUUCACAAGAACUUACAAACUUGUCCAGUUCUCUGUCCAGAGUGAAGGCUUGUUAGGUGAGUUGGGCCCCUUAAAAGUUGUCCCGCACUGCAUGCCAUUGCAUGUGUUGAUCUGCAGAUUACAUGACUUCAUUUACAGAUGUAAUAUAAACAGUUUAACUAAUUACUUGUGGUGAAUCGAAGGCUGGGCUUGAUAAGAAGUAAUAAGAAUGACUAAUAAGGCUGGGCUUCUUUUAUUGAUUGCAUUUUGAUUGGAAGUUCUGGUUUA